CGCGCAGGUGGGAUAGUAAGUCUUUUGUAAAAGUGCGGGGCUCAACCCCGUAAUGCGACGGAUACUGCUAUUCUUGAGUGCCGGAGAGGAAAGCGGAAUUCCCAGUGUAGCGGUGAAAUGCGUAGAUAUUGGGAGGAACACCAGUGGCGAAGGCGGCUUUCUGGACGGUGUCUGACACUGAGGCGCGAAAGCCAGGGGAGCGAACGGGAUUAGAUACCCCGGUAGUCCUGGCCGUAAACGAUGGGUACUAGGUGUAGGGGGUAUCGACCCCUUCUGUGCCGGAGUUAACGCAAUAAGUACCCCGCCUGGGGAGUACGGCCGCAAGGUUGAA
rnacentral:rRNA from 1 species